UCAAGCAAGGAAGGGCGCAGGGAGGAUGCCUGGCCACACUGUACUGAAGAAGGACGUGCCAAACAGCGAAAUGCGACGGUGAGCCGUAAGGAGGCAAAGACCCGUCGGUGUCCGAAUGGGGGAACCCGGCAGCCGGAAGGCUGUCAUCCCGAAAGGGAGAGGUACCCGGGGAACUGAAACAUCUAAGUACCCGGAGGAAAAGAAAACAACAGUGAUUCCCCGAGUAGCGGCGAGCGAAAGGGGAGAAAGCCCAAACCGGAGAGAUCCGGGGUAGUAGGACCGUCAUAAGAGUGGGAAAGACACAGCAGAAUGUACAGGGAAGUACAGCCAGAGAGAGUGAAAGCCUCGUAAGCGAAGUGUGUGACGCAUGAGACGGGAUCCUGAGUACGGCGGGACACGAGAAAUCUUGUCGGAAGCAGGCGGGACCAUCCGCCAAGGCAAAAUAUACAGUGUGAGCGAUAGAGAACGAGUACCGUGAGGGAAAGGUGAAAAGAACCGCGGGAGCGGAGUGAAAGAGAACCUGAAACCGUGUGCCUAAAAGAAGUCAGAGCCCGUCAAAGGGUGAUGGCGUGCCUUUUGUAGAAUGAACCGGCGAGUUGUUCCAUGGUGCGAGGUUAAGUCGGAAAGGACGGAGCCGAAGCGAAAGCGAGUCUUAAGAGGGCGUUAAGAGUAGUAUGGAGCAGACCCGAAACCGGGUGAUCUAGCCAUGGGCAGGUUGAAGCAGAAGUGAAAUUCUGUGGAGGACCGAACCGACUACCGUUGAAAAGUUAGCGGAUGACCUGUGGCUAGGGGAGAAAUUCCAAUCGAACCCGGAGAUAGCUGGUUCUCCCCGAAAUAGCUUUAGGGCUAGCGUCGGAGGAUGACAGACGGAGGUAGAGCACUGAACGCAUGAUGGCCCCAUCCCGGGGUACUGAAUGCGAUCAAACUGCGAAUGCCGACUGGGAGGAAUCCGGCAGUGAGACUGUGGGUGAUAAGGUCCAUGGUCGAGAGGGAAAGAGCCCAGACCGCCAGCAAAGGUCCCAAAAUACUGGCUAAGUGGAAAAGGAUGUGGGGACGCACGGACAGCUAGGAGGUUGGCUCAGAAGCAGCCAUCCUUGAAAGAGUGCGUAACAGCUCACUAGUCGAGUGGCCCUGCGCCGAAAAUGUACCGGGGCUUAAGCCAGGUACCGAAGCUGCGGAUGUAUAUGGAAGUAUAUGUGGUAGGGGAGCGUUGCAUGCAGGAAGAAGUAUGACGGAGACGGCAUAUGGACAGCAUGGAAGAGAGAAUGCCGGUGUGAGUAGCGAGAUGCAGGUGAGAAUCCUGCACACCGAAAGCCCAAGGAUUCCAGGGGAAGGUUCGUCCGCCCUGGGUAAGUCGGGACCUAACGUGAGGCCGAAAGGCGCAGCGGAUGGAAAGCAGGCGGAGAUUCCUGCACCCGUAUAUGGAGCGAAGGAGUGACGGAGAAGGCAGAUGCGACCCUCUUACUGGAUUGAGGGCCAAGCGAAGCAGGUGGUAUCCAGGCAAAUCCGGAUACGGAAACCAGAGCGUGACGGGUAAGCGAAAGCGGAAAGCGAGUAGCGAAGCGCAUCGAGUCAGCUUCCAGGAAAAGCUUCUAGUGGAAAUGCAUAUACGGCCCGUACCAAAACCGACACAGGUGGGCGCGCAGAGGAUGCGAAGGUGAGCGAGAGAACUGUUGCCAAGGAACUCGGCAAAAUGGCCCCGUACGUUCGCAAGAAGGGGCGCUCGAAAGAGCCGCAGUGAAAAGGCCCAAGCGACUGUUUAACUAAAACACAGCUCCCUGCGAAGCCGCAAGGCGAAGUAUAGGGGGUGACACCUGCCCGGUGCUGGAAGGUUAAGGCAAGCUGUCAACCGCGAGGUGAAGCAGUGACCCGAAGCCCCAGUGAACGGCGGCCGUAACUAUAACGGUCCUAAGGUAGCGAAAUUCCUUGUCAGGUAAG
rnacentral:rRNA from 1 species